UACGGAGGGUGCGAGCGUUGUCCGGAAUCACUGGGCGUAAAGGGCGCGUAGGCGGCUGGGGAAGUCGGCGGUGAAAGCCCGGAGCUCAACUCCGGGUCGGCCGUCGAGACUCCUCGGCUCGAGCUCACUAGAGGCAGAUGGAAUUCCGGGUGUAGCGGUGGAAUGCGUAGAGAUCCGGAAGAACACCGGUGGCGAAGGCGACUUACUGGACACAUAUUGACGCUGAGGUGCGAAAGCGUGGGGAGCAAACAGG
rnacentral:rRNA from 1 species